rnacentral:tRNA from 1 species
GGGCAGGUGGUAGACUGUUGGUGAGGUCACACCGGGCUGUAAACCCGGAGCCGAGAGGCCAUCGGGGGUUCGAUUCCCUCCCUGCUCA